UUAUCGGAGAGUUUGAUCCUGGCUCAGGACGAACGCUGGCGGCGUGCCUAAUACAUGCAAGUCGAGCGGACAGAUGGGAGCUUGCUCCCUGAUGUUAGCGGCGGGCG
rnacentral:rRNA from 1 species